UUAACCCUGCUCCACAUCGCCUUCGCCUCCCCCACCCACCGCCCGCCGCUCCUGAGCCCGAAAUGUCGGACGACGGCGGCGCCGGCGCCGGCGAGCCGCUCAGCGACCGCCAGAAGAGGGAGAUCGCCGUCUGGUUCCUCUCCAACGCCCCCGCCGGCGAGAUCCACUACGUCGCCAAAGAUGUGCACGCGCUGCUGGGGGACGAGGCGGUGUAUGAGGCCGCGGCCGCGGUGGCCUUCCCGGAGUACAACAAGGCCCACCUCAUGUCCCUCGAGCUGCCGGACCGCAGCGGCGACAUAAUCAUCACAACUUUUGGGGAGCUUGACAAGAACAAUUAUCUGGACCCUAGGACUGCACAAGUCGCUACUGUGGAUCAUAUUAAACAGACUUGUACGAAAUUGAGGCCUGCUGCAGAUGAGGAGCUUCCUUCAGCGUACAUUGAAGAGUUUAGGAGUGCUUUAGAUGUUGAAUUGUCUAAAUAUGUCGGUGAAGCUUAUCCAAAAGGGGUAUGUGCCGUUUAUUGUACCAGUGGAAAGGAUGCAGAUGGACCAGGAGCAGAUUUUGGUUUGGCAGUAGUUAUUUCUGCUGCUAAGCAUAGUCCACUGAACUUUUGCUAUGGUAGCUGGCAUUCAGUUUGGACUGUGGAAUUCAAUUAUGAGUUGCAAUUUGUUGAUAUUAAAGGAAAGAUACAGGUAGGUGCUCACUAUUUUGAAGAGGGAAAUGUGCAGCUGGAUACUAAUAUCGACUGCAAGGACUCCACUAUAUCGCAGAUUAGUUCAUUUACAAUGCCUAAGCUUUUGGAGAAACUAUGUUCUUCUGUAUUCAUAUUGUUCUCCAACUCUGUUGCACAUGCAGUCAUGCACAUCGGUAUAUGUUCUGCAUUCAUCUAUAUGGUAUAUGUCCCCUGUAGGUGUUCCUCAGAACCUUAAAAUAUAUACCCUUUUUACACAUGCUCAGUUGAGUUGGUGCUGGGUUUAGGUGUUGGUGUAAACAGUUCCAACAAUAUAUUCAAGCUUUAUUUAUCUCUUUUGGUGAAAAUGAUAGGCCUUUGACAGAUUUGAACUCCUUGAUUUCACUUGGUUUGCAGAUGGCUCUGUUAUGCAAGUUCACCUCAAGCAUGCCUAGAUUUUUAUCCUCCUAUUUCCUUUCUUUUGUAGCUGUGGAGUUGUGCAUUUGCUGUUCGCAUUUCCUAAGCAUGCAUGUAUCUUGGCAUCAUUGCUGUGGUUAAGGAUCUAUAUUUUGUAGACCUGCCUUGAUUAUGAUCUGGUUGUCUCUCCUUGCCCUCUUAAAAAGGAUGGAAGAAUGAAGAAACUUAACCAUGCCUCUGACGUUAUAUUUCAGUCACCAGAAGAUUGUGCAGCUUCCAUAACUAACAUCAUUCGACAUCGUGAGUCUGAGUAUUUGUCAUCUCUUGAGGAAUCAUACUUGAAUUUGUCCAAUGCAACCUUCAAGGAUCUUCGGAGAAAACUUCCAGUUACCCGUACUCUUUUC